rnacentral:lncRNA from 1 species
UUUCAUUUCACCUCUUCUCGUCUUCUUACAACUAACCUCGAUUGCAAGAUCAACUAGCUGUGGACGAGGCGUUAUCUCAGGACAGGAGCUCGACUGGUGCGCCUUGAUCUCCGGGAGAGUGACUGGACAGCUUAUUAUCCCAUCUCCAAUGGCUAUCGAGCCAUUGGGCCUCUCGCCACCAGAUAUCAUCACCUGCUCUGGAUCCAAAGGUUCCUGGCUCGGCUUAAAGUCCUCACCUUUCCAAGCCUUCCCCAUGUCCUUGUAUUUCACGAGCUUGUGGUGGGAUGAGAUGUUGGUGAAGUUCUUUGGAUCAUCUAGGUCAGACUCAGAGAAUGCCUUCGCCUUCUUGUAGGAGGCAGUAUGGGCAUGCCAUAAAGGUUGUAUAAC